rnacentral:rRNA from 1 species
UACAGAGGUCUCAAGCGUUGUUCGGAUUCAUUGGGCGUAAAGGGUGCAUAGGCGGCGCGGUAAGUCGGGUGUGAAAUCUUGGAGCUUAACUCCGAAACUGCAUUCGAUACUGCCGUGCUUGAGGACUGGAGAGGAGACUGGAAUUUACGGUGUAGCGGUGAAAUGCGUAGAUAUCGUAAGGAAGACCAGUGGCGAAGGCGGGUCUCUGGACAGUUCCUGACGCUGAGGCACGAAGGCCAGGGGAGCAAACGGG